CCUACGGGAGGCAGCAGUGAGGAAUAUUGGUCAAUGGACGAGAGUCUGAACCAGCCAAGUAGCGUGAAGGAUGACUGCCCUAUGGGUUGUAAACUUCUUUUAUAUGGGAAUAAAACGUUCCACGUGUGGGAUUUUGUAUGUACCAUAUGAAUAAGGAUCGGCUAACUCCGUGCCAGCAGCCGCGGUAAUACGGAGGAUCCGAGCGUUAUCCGGAUUUAUUGGGUUUAAAGGGAGCGUAGGUGGAUUGGUAAGUCAGUUGUGAAAGUUUGCGGCUCAAACGUAAAAUUGCAGUUGAAACUGGCAGUCUUGAGUACAGUAGAGGUGGGCGGAAUUCGUGGUGUAGCGGUGAAAUGCUUAGAUAUCACGAAGAACUCCGAUUGCGAAGGCAGUUCACUGGACUGCAACUGACACUGAGGCUCGAAAGUGUGGGUAUCAAACAGGAUUAGAUACCCGUGUAGUC
rnacentral:rRNA from 1 species